AUUUGGCUGGCUCAGUUGGUAGAGCACAGGACUGUUGAUCUCAGGGUUGUGAGUUCAAGCCCCACGCUGGAUG
rnacentral:tRNA from 1 species